GGGCCUCUAGCUCAUUUGGUUAGAGCAUUCGACUCAUAAUCGACAGGUACUAGGUUCGAUCCCUAGGAGGCCUACCA
rnacentral:tRNA from 1 species